CGUUUUUAUCCUCUUGAUGCUUAAGGAGUGAAGUUGAAGUUUUAAAGUGAUGUUGCAUGAAGAGUUUAGAAGAGUUCAUGUUGUUUAGGUGGACUCGUUUCCUCUCUGGUUGUGUGCAUAGUGAGUUGGAUUUGAUGACGUUGAUGUUGACUGAGGUGCAUUAAGACGAACAGAUCCAUCUUUAACAGAAGAACCAGGGUGCUGUGUAUUACCUGGAAGGAGUGAUACCUUUCAGCAAUCAGUCAAAGGAAGACCUGCUUCAUGUGAGUACCUCAUUACUGAAUCCCUGAACAUGGAUACCUUGGUGAAGUUGUUGGCUUGUGGUUGUCUACUUGUCUUCUAUUUUCAUUGGUGCUCUUACCAAUGUUAACCUCAAACUGGCAGUACUUUAUGAGAAGUAUAACCUUCACAGAACACCCUAUAAAGGCACAGUUCAUCUGAAUACAAGAUGAAUUUAUUUUCUCAGUGGCCUUCUCAUAGAAAAUAAUUACACAUAAAUUAUUCAUAAAAGAGAACACUGGUCAUGUA